GAUGAACGCUGGCGGCGUGCCUAAUACAUGCAAGUCGAGCGAACAGAUAAGGAGCUUGCUCCUUUGACGUUAGCGGCGGACGGGUGAGUAACACGUGGGUAACCUACCUAUAAGACUGGGAUAACUUCGGGAAACCGGAGCUAAUACCGGAUAAUAUUUCGAACCGCAUGGUUCGAUAGUGAAAGAUGGUUUUGCUAUCACUUAUAGAUGGACCCGCGCCGUAUUAGCUAGUUGGUAAGGUAACGGCUUACCAAGGCGACGAUACGUAGCCGACCUGAGAGGGUGAUCGGCCACACUGGAACUGAGACACGGUCCAGACUCCUACGGGAGGCAGCAGUAGGGAAUCUUCCGCAAUGGGCGAAAGCCUGACGGAGCAACGCCGCGUGAGUGAUGAAGGUCCUCGGAUCGUAAAACUCUGUUAUUAGGGAAGAACAUACGUGUAAGUAACUGUGCACGUCUUGACGGUACCUAAUCAGAAAGCCACGGCUAACUACGUG
rnacentral:rRNA from 1 species